rnacentral:rRNA from 1 species
CCCGCACAAGCAGCGGAGCGUGUGGUUUAAUUCGAUGUUACACGAAGAACCUUACCAGGGUUUGACAUGCAAGUGGUAGGAAGCCGAAAGGUGACCGACCCUUCGGGGAGCUUGCACAGGUGCUGCAUGGCUGUCGUCAGCUCGUGUCGUGAGAUGUUCGGUUAAGUCCGCUAACGAGCGCAACCCUCGCUGUGUGUUAUAUGUGUCACACGGGACUGCCGGUCUUAAGCCGGAGGAAGGUGGGGAGUGAUGUCAAGUCAGCAUGGCCUUUAUAUCCUGGGCUACACACACGCUACAAUGGCCAACACAAUAGGUUGCUAAGCCGCGAGGUGGCGCCAAUCCAUAAAGUUAGGUCUCAGUUCAGAUUGUAGGCUGCAACCCGCCUGCAUGAAGAUGGAGUUGCUAGUAACCGCAGGUCAGCUAUACUGCGGUGAAUACGUUCCCGGGGCUU